rnacentral:rRNA from 1 species
AGGACGAACGCUGGCGGCGUGCUUAACACAUGCAAGUCGAGCGGAAAGGCCCUUCGGGGUACUCGAGCGGCGAACGGGUGAGUAACACGUGAGUAACCUGCCCCCUACUUUGGGAUAACCCUCGGAAACGGGGGCUAAUACCGGAUAUGACUUCUCCUGGCAUCAGGGGUGGUGGAAAGUUUUUCGGUGGGGGAUGGGCUCGCGGCCUAUCAGCUUGUUGGUGGGUAAUGGCCUACCAAGGCGACGACGGGUAGCCC